CUGGGCGCGGCGGGCGCUGCCGAGCCGGGGGACGAGGGAAGAACUUCCUGCGCCUCCCCGCCUCCCCCCGGCCCUCCCCCCCGGGCCGGGGCUCCUCGUUCCUUCCCGAGGGCAUCCCCGUCCCCAGAGGGCCGGGCUGGGACCCUCGGCCAGGCUUUCUGCGCCCGAGGAAGAAGGGAAAGCGGGACGCAGGGAGGUCUUUGCCUCCAGCUUCCAGCCCUGGGAAGCAGGGGUUGGAAAAAAGUAAAAGGAAAGACAAAUGGCCGGGAUAAGAACACCGUUUAUUCCUUUAACAAACACUGUAGGGACAGAAUGCCUCCUGCGUCGGGCACUGCUCUAGGGCUGCAGACGUGAAGCCAGGCGAAAGGCUCUGCCCUCCUGAAGCCUGCCUCAAAUUAGUUGUCAAGCAAGUGCCAGGGCAGAAAGCACAAAGAGCGCCCACCUCCUGUCAAAGAGCCGAGGCGAACGGCAGGACCAGAUUUCUGUUUGAAGACGGUCAUCACCGUGUACACCCACGUUCAGCAUUCUCAGCCCUGAAGGGGGAAGAAACGUCCCAUCCCUCAGAAUCUGUGUGGUCUGGUACACGAAUCGACUGUCACCUAGUCUGUGAAGUAUAGUAGCCUAUUUUCAUUUUACAUCCUGCAGAGCUGUUAUCACAUUACUACCUUUUUGAUUGAAAUGUCCACAAUGAAGUAGUCUACAGUGGAGUUUCUACAAAUGACGGCUAAAUUAAUUAACGACAACUCUGUGCAUAACUGUUAAUACAAUCCCCAUUUUAAAGAUGAGAAACUGAGCCCCAGGAAGGCUUUGUAACUUGACCAGAGUCACAUGUUUGUGAGUAGCAAAACCAAGCAGGACCCUGCGGGGCUCCUGGUCUCGGAAGCCUUUCGGUCCCCCAUUUCUUGUUUGUAGGCAGCAGGCGCCAGCGUCCAUGGGCUUCCCAUGGAGGUUCAAACAGCUGCUCAUCAGGGAAGGGAGGGGCUGCAAAGACAAGGGAAGAGCAGUCCGGAAACAGUGGUGCAGCCUUGGGGCAGGGUCCCGGUUCCCCCUCCAGGGGUGCGCAGAACAAUGUCUUUGAGUUGUUUACAGAACUAAAACCCCCAUCAAAUGGAAGACGAAGCAUUCUUCAUUCCGGAAGACAGGAAGCACAGAAGCUCAUCAGGAGACCUCCUGAGGCCAGAUGAAAGGAGCACAGGCCCUGCUCACACCCUGACCCUUAUCGGCAACCCCACCCUGGAACCAUUGCUACAGAACUCCUCACCAAAUCCUCCCGGUUGGGACACACAAUUUUCAAAGGCAGGAGCCUGCUGUGUCCCCCUUUGCCUGGAAAAGUAAUAAAGCUCUUCUUUUCUACUUCACCCAGCUGUGUCUCUGAGAUUCCAUUCAGCACCGGUGCACAGAGGCGGAGUUUUCUGCAUCAGUAUUGAAGCCAGAAUUGGAAUGCGGGUACUUGGUUCCGGUGCUGGCACUUUAAACCAUCACGUUUUCAUUCCUCCACGAGUGUCUCCAAAAAGACAUCUCAGACUUAUGAAAUGUACAUUUAUAUUAAGCACUUGGUGUUUAUUUUAUGACUCUACACCGUUUUAGUCAUAAAUAUGUAACUUAAAAAUUCUACUGCCAACGACAAACAUACAUCAUUUUGAUUCUGGUCUCACAUCAAAAGCACUGCCCCAAGCCUACAGGAACCAGGCACUCAGUCAAUGAAACCAUCACGGUGUCUUAGAUGGAAUACCCUUUUUAGUGGCUAUAGAAAUGUGAAAUGAAUCUCCUGAAACCAUCCAAAGGGAAAAGGGUCUGUUGCCCUGAUUCUUAGCGAGAAGACUUUGCCAUAAAAUCGUCUUUUCUGUGUUCCUGGGUCUGACGACCUGUGAUGAAGGAAAAGCAUGAUUUGUAUUCACAUCAGUUUCUGAAGGACAGAAGUAGGAAAAAGCAAAGGCAGUGAGGUGACUAACUUGUUUCUGGGGAAAGGUGAACGUUCUAAGUAGGAGCCAGAGUUUCUGUUACCGCUAACCUUGAGAUCAUCAUGGACUUGACCAAGACGGCAAUCUGGCGGGAGCUUCGAUGCUUGUAUGCUGUUGGACCCAAGAUGCUACAAGAUGCUGAAAUGAUGCAUUUGCAGCUGCUGAGGUAUGGAGUUUCCAAGCACUGCCUCAUGUAAAUGUCCCUGGUGAACUUGAUCAGACACAAAACUUCACAGGAGAAAGGGAAACAACCUGUGUCCAGAGAGCUUCUACUUAGCUGGACGUCACAUCAGAGCA